rnacentral:rRNA from 1 species
GACGAACGCUGGCGGCGUGCUUAACACAUGCAAGUCGAACGGAAAGGCCCUGCUUUUGUGGGGUGCUCGAGUGGCGAACGGGUGAGUAGCACGUGAGUAACCUGCCCUUGACUUUGGGAUAACUUCAGGAAACUGGGGCUAAUACCGGAUAGGAGCUCCUGCUGCAUGGUGUGGGUUGGAAAGUUUCGGCGGUUGGGGAUGGACUCGCGGCUUAUCAGCUUGUUGGUGGGGUAGUGGCUUACCAAGGCUUUGACGGGUAGCCGGCCUGAGAGGGUGACCGGCCACAUUGGGACUGAGAUACGGCCCAGACUCCUACGGGAGGCAGCAGUGGGGAAUAUUGCACAAUGGGCGGAAGCCUGAUGCAGCAACGCCGCGUGCGGGAUGACGGCCUUCGGGUUGUAAACCGCUUUCGCCUGUGACGAAGCGUGAGUGACGGUAAUGGGUAAAGAAGCACCGGCUAACUACGUG